rnacentral:lncRNA from 1 species
CUUAAAUAAUGAUAAAUCAAGGGUUCAAUUAAUAAAUUAACUGGCCCAACAAGUCUACUUGCCCAAGCAAUUAUUCUGAGCCCAAUUAAUCAUAAAAUAAUGAGCCCAUCAGAUCUUAAUUAGCCCAUGCAUUCAUCCAAGUCCAAUUAUAAUUACUAUUUUUCUUAUUAAAUAAAUUAAUACCAAAAUGAAAUAAUAAUAUGGAAUCUUCUAAUUGGAAACGAAAUAGUUCUUCUCCCUCUUUUCUCUUUUUUCUUUUUGUCACCUGCGUCUCUCUCUCUCGUCCGGCGAGCGUGGCCGAUCCUCGCCGCCUCCGGCGUGGCGAGGUCGGCACCCCUUCCUCCCCUCCUUCCCCUCUCUUUUUCUAUUUCUUCCCUUCAAUCUAAAAUCCCCAAAUUAUAAAAUCAAAAACCUAGGGUGUCUACCUCUCUUCAUCCCCUCUAGACUUCGUCUCUCCGGCGAAGCCUACCGUCCCGCCGUCGUCUCUGUCACGCCGGCGCCUCCUCUGUUUCAGGUAAGUCCCUGUCUCUCUCUCUACUUCUGUCUCUGCUCUCUCCCUCGAACUCCCUCUUUCUCUGCCCUCUCUCGCUCUCUCGCUCUGUCCAGGGCGCGGCGGCCGCCGCAAGCCACGACGGCGCUUCCAGCGCCGGUGCUCGCUGCCGCCUGCUCCGCUCCUCUCUCCUUCUAGCUCGUUCUGCCUUUCUCCCUUCUUCCUGCUGUCUGUUUCUAUCUCACACUCUAUCUCACUAUCUCUCACUCAAUCUCUCUGUUGGUAGCCACUGCGGACCGCCGUGGCGCAGGCAACGCCGGCAGUCGCGCCUUUGCCGCGGUGGCUCGCGUCUGCUGCUGCCGCUUGCCUCUUCUUCCUCCUCUGUUUCUGUUUCUCUUACCUUCUUUCUUUUCUAGUUUAAUAGCUUGUUUGGCAAAUCCCUAACUAUUUCCUUAUCUCAGGAAUCGAUGAUUCAACUCCGGCGAGGCAGCCCGCCUCCUGAUCAAUGCUCAAGAUUCUAUUUUUUUCUACCUUUCUUAUUGUAAAUUUAUGUUCUUUCAUUGAUUGAUUAUUGAAAAACUGAAGCUGUAAUGGUUGGGGAAAUCGUACUGUGCUUAUAGAAAUUAGAGUUAGAGAUAUCUGUUUGUCUUAACUGGUGUAGCUAUGUCUGUUUUCACUGCUUUUCUUUACAUAAAGAAUCUACUGUAUUGAAAGAAAGACUACCUUCUUUGAUGUCUCCACAACUACCUUCUUUGAUGUCUGCUGUGGAGGAUGUGUGUUUGAAUGGAUGAUUGCUGCGUGUUUAAGAUUGCAGAAUGAGGAAGGAAAAGGUUUAACGUGAGAGGUGAGGGGAUUUAAACAAGCUGAAGUCGGUUGUGGAGUAGCUGCGUAAAAGCUACAAGAAACGUGUUCCUCUGUGAGCUAAUCAGGCUUAAUAAAUCUAAUUAGCAAUUUAAAACUCUAAUUAAAAGAUAUAAAAUUGGGCUUGGGCCCUUUUUAUAUGACAAUAUUCCUGGCCCAAAUAAAUACU